GGGCCAUCGCUCAGUGGCAGAGCAUCUGUUUUGCACACAGAAGGUCCCAGGUUAAAUUCCCGGCAUCUCCA